UACAGAGGGGGCAAGCGUUAUUCGGAAUUAUUGGGCGUAAAGAGCUCGUAGGCGGUUUGUCGCGUCGAAUGUGAAAACCCGGGGCUCAACCCCGGGCCUGCAUUCGAUACGGGCAGACUAGAGUUCGGUAGGGGAGUCUGGAAUUCCUGGUGUAGCGGUGAAAUGCGCAGAUAUCAGGAGGAACACCGGUGGCGAAGGCGGGACUCUGGGCCGAUACUGACGCUGAGGAGCGAAAGUGUGGGGAGCGAACAGG
rnacentral:rRNA from 1 species